rnacentral:rRNA from 1 species
GAUGAACGCUAGCGGCAUGCUUAAUACAUGCAAGUCGUGGGGCAGGAGGACUGUAUCACUACUGUGACUUUCGACCGGCAAACGGGUGCGGCACACGUACGCAACUUAUCCUAAACUGGGGUAAAUCCCGGGAAAACCCGCUUUAAUACCCUGAUAUAUAAUGGCGUAUCAUCCCUUUAUUAUUAAAGCUCCUGCUGUCACUUAUGGGCGUACGGCUGCUUAGUUAGUUGGUUGAGGUAACGGCUCACCACCCAUACGAUCAGUAACUGGUGUGAGGGCACGACCAGUCACAAGGGAACUGAGGUACGGGCCCGACUCCUACGGGAGGCAGCAGUAAGGAACAUUAGGCAAUGGAGGCAAAUCUGACCCAGCCAUGCCGCGUGGAGGAUGAAGGCGCUCUGGGUUGUAAACUUCUUUGAUAGGGGAAGAGAGUUGUGUAUUCUUCCGCAGUUGACGGUACCCAAGGAAUAAGCCACGGCUAACUCCGUG